rnacentral:lncRNA from 1 species
CAAAACCAAAGCCAGAGCCAAAACCAAAACAAAAACACCCAAAGAGGAGGCCACUCUGGUAGAGGACGAGGUCGAGGAAGACAACAGAAAUCAUUCUACUGCGUCAACCAUGGCCACCAGAACCAUCAUAAUACAGAGUGGUGCCCCAAAAAGAAAGAAGAAGAGAGAAAGGCUGCAGAAGAAGCCGCGAAAGCAGCCGCACAAGCACCCAAAACAAUCCACCACACAAUUUUUUACCCGCACCCAAGUUUUUACCCCAACCAGCCUAGCUUCGCCAAUUUCCAGCAACCAAUGACCUAGCCUCUUCCGCCGUAGAUACAACCGUACCACCAAAGAAUCCCGCAACAAGCCAGCCCAAAUCCACCUCAGAAGCCUCAAGAAACACUACCUCCACCCCCAAGCAUCCCAGCCAUAAUGCCCAAACCAGAGCCAAGCACGCAAAACAACAACCAAAAUUCCUUACCUACCUUUGGCAUGAUAAUGCCAAUCAUCGGGGGCUCCUCUUUAGAGUUCGAGAACAAAAGGUAGAGGCGAAACUAUUUUACAGAAGUCAAUGUAAUCAUACCCGACGAACCCCCAACGAAGCCAGAAUGGGCACACAUGCCCAUAACCUUCACAGGGGAAGACUUCAAGCUCAAGACAACCUCGCACAACGAUGCG